rnacentral:rRNA from 1 species
AGGAUGAACGCUGGCGGCGUGCUUAACACAUGCAAGUCGAACGGGACUACAUAGAAAGCGGCUCGGCCAAUGGAAAUGUAAGUUAGUGGCGGACGGGUGAGUAACGCGUGGACAACCUGCCCCAUACCGGGGGAUAACACCCAGAAAUGAGUGCUAAUACCGCAUAAGCGCACGGAACCGCAUGGUUUCGUGUGAAAAACUCCGGUGGUAUGGGAUGGGUCCGCGUUGGAUUAGCUGGUUGGCGGGGCAACGGCCCACCAAGGCGACGAUCCAUAGCCGGCCUGAGAGGGUGAACGGCCACAUUGGGACUGAGACACGGCCCAGACUCCUACGGGAGGCAGCAGUGGGGAAUAUUGCACAAUGGGGGGAACCCUGAAUGCAGCGACGCCGCGUGAAGGAAGAAGUAUCUCGGUAUGUAAACUUCUAUCAUCGGGGAAGAAGAUGACGGUACCCGAGGAAGAAGCCCCGGCUAACUACGUGCCAGCAGCGGC